CGAAGAUACAAAGGGCGCGAGGCGGAUGCCUUGGCGCGGGAAGUCGACGAAGGGCGCGGCAAGCUGCGAUAAGCCGCGGGGAGGCGCAAACGGCCUUUGAUCCGCGGAUUCCCGAAUGGGGGAACCCAGCAGGGGCAAUGCCCUGCUACCGGCCGCCGAACCCAUAGGCGGCCAGGAGGCAACCGGGGGAACUGAAACAUCUAAGUACCCCGAGGAAGAGAAAUCAACCGAGAUCCCGGGAGUAGCGGCGAGCGAAACCGGGCCAGCCCAAACCGGCGCGCGUGCAAGCGUGCGGGCGUUUCCGCGCCGGUGUUGUUGGGCGGGGCAACCGAGGGCCGCAUCCCUCGGCCGCUGUUACAAACCAGCCAUCUAGGGGAACGGCCUGGGAAGGCCGGCGGAACAGGGUGAGAGCCCCGUACCCGGAAGGUCGCUGGCAGCGGGUCUCCGGCCCAGAGUAGCGCGGGGCACGUGAAACCCCGCGCGAAGCAGGGGGGACCACCCUCCAAGGCUGAACACUCUCCCGCGACCGAUAGCGAACCAGUACCGUGAGGGAAAGGUGAAAAGCACCCCGAGAGGGGAGUGAAACAGCGCCUGAAACCGCGCGCCCACGAGCAGUCGGAGCACCUUCUACGGUGUGACGGCGUGCCUUUUGUAGAAUGAGCCAGCGAGUCACGAUGCGCGGCGAGGUUAAGCUUUUAAGCGAGCCGCAGCGAAAGCGAGUCUUUAAGACGGCGACAUGAGUCGCGCGUCGUGGACGCGAAGCCGGGUGAGCUACCCAUGGGCAGGCUGAAGCGGGGGUAAGACCCCGUGGAGGGCCGAACCCACUUCGGUUGAAAACGGAGGGGAUGACCCGUGGGUAGGGGUGAAAGGCCAAUCAAACCCGGAGAUAUCUCGUUCUCCCCGAAAUAGCUUUAGGGCUAGCCCCGGCCGUUUUCCCGCGGCGGUAGAGCACUGGACGGAGGAGGGGGCCUCACCGCCUACCGAUGCCGACCAAACUCCGAAUGCCGCGAGACCAAAGGCCGGGAGUCAGAGCAUGUGGGCUAAGCUGUGUGCUCGAGAGGGAAACAGCCCAGACCGCCCGCUAAGGCCCCCAAGUCAUCGCUGAGUGGCAAAGGAUGUGCGUCCGCCCAGACAACCAGGAUGUUGGCUUAGAAGCAGCCAUGCAUUCAAAGAGUGCGUAACAGCUCACUGGUCGAGUGGACAUGCGCCGACAAUUCACGGGGCUAAGCGAUGCGCCGAAGCGGCGGAAUGUAUUUACAUUGGUAGGGGAGCUUCCCCUGCGCGGCGAAGCCGGAGGGCGACCGACGGUGGAGCGCAGGGGAGUGAGGAUGCUGGCAUGAGUAACGAGAGCGGCGCGGGAAACGCCGCCGCCGUAAGCCCAAGGUUUCCUGGGCAAGGCUAAUCCUCCCAGGGUCAGUCGGGAGCUAAGGCGAGGCCGGAAGGCGUAGCCGAUGCGCAACAGGCGGACAUUCCUGUACCGCCUCGGGACCGCUAUGACCGAAGGGGCGACGGAGAAGGGUACGCAGGCGGGGUUCUGGACGCCCCCGUGAAAGCAUGUAGGCCGCAGGGCAGGCAAAUCCGCCCUGCGCACAAGGCCGAGACGCGAGACGAAGCCGCAUGGCGAAGCUGCGGAGCCCACGCUCCCUGGAAAAACCCCUAGGCAGGGCCCGAGGCGCCCGUACCAAAACCGACACAGGUGGGCGGGUAGAGCAUACCGAGGCGAUCGGGGGAACCAUGGUCAAGGAACUCGGCAUAAUCGCUCCGUAACUUCGGGAGAAGGAGUGCCGCUGCAGGUGGAGGGACCAGCUCCCCGAGCCCGCGGCGGCCGCAGCGAAACGGCCCAAGCGACUGUUUACCAAAAACACAGGACUCUGCCAACCCGCGAGGGGAAGUAUAGGGUCUGACGCCUGCCCGGUGCCGGAAGGUUACGCGGAUGCGUUAGCGUCAAGCGAAGCGCUGAAGCCAAGCCCCGGUAAACGGCGGCCGUAACUAUAACGGUCCUAAGGUAGCGAAAUUCCUUGUCGGGUAAGUUCCG
rnacentral:rRNA from 1 species